rnacentral:rRNA from 1 species
UACGUAGGGGGCAAGCGUUGUCCGGAUUUAUUGGGCGUAAAGAGCGUGUAGGCGGUUAGGUAGGUCCGUUGUGAAAACUCGAGGCUCAACCUCGAGACGCCGAUGGAAACCAUCUGACUAGAGUCCGGAAGAGGAGAGUGGAAUUCCUGGUGUAGCGGUGAAAUGCGCAGAUAUCAGGAAGAACACCCGUGGCUAAGGCGGCUCUCUAGUACGUGACUGACGCUGAGGUGCGAAAGCGUGGGGAGCAAACAGG